UACGUAGGGUGCAAGCGUUGUCCGGAAUUAUUGGCGUAAGAGCUCGUAGGCGGUCUGUCGCGAUCUGCUGUGAAAACUCAAGGGCUUAACCCUGAGCUUGUCAGUGGGUUACGGGCAGACUAGAGUGGCGGUAGGGGAGACUGGAAUUCCGUGGUGAUAGCGGUGAAAUGCGCAGAUAUCAGGAGGAACACCGGUAGGCGAAGGCGGGUCUCUGGGCCGUAACUGAACGC
rnacentral:rRNA from 1 species